rnacentral:misc_RNA from 1 species
UUAUCUCCAAUUCUCUGGUAUCCCCUGUAUCCAGCAGCAGCAGUCAUCUUUAUUUUCAAUUUUUCUUCGUAGGGAAGAUCAAAGAAUCUGUGUGAUACGUUUUUAACCUCUUUAAUGAGAGAAUCAGGUAUACCAUGGCCCUUCACGUAGAAGAAUCCAGCUUCUCUACAAGCCUGGUCCAAUUGUUUAACGACUUCACACACAGUGGGGUCCCGAGCCAUGUUUGGAUCAUCACACUUGGCUACCAAAGGACCAAUAUCGAUAAUUGGGAUAUAUUUGAAAUCGGUGGCCAUGACGCUUUGCC